CACGUAGGGGGCGAGCGUUGUCCGGAUUCAUUGGGCGUAAAGGGCGCGCAGGCGGCUCAGAAAGUCGGGUGUGAAAGCCCUCGGCUCAACCGAGGAAGUGCGCCCGAAACUGCAGAGCUUGAGUACCGGAGAGGAUGGCGGAAUUCCCCAAGUAGAGGUGAAAUUCGUAGAUAUGGGGAGGAACACCGGUGGCGAAGGCGGCCAUCUGGACGGAUACUGACGCUGAGACGCGAAAGCGUGGGGAGCAAACAGG
rnacentral:rRNA from 1 species